rnacentral:rRNA from 1 species
AACGAACGCUGGCGGCGUGCCUAAUACAUGCAAGUCGAACGAGAAAGCACUUCGGUGUGAGUAGAGUGGCGCACGGGUGAGUAACACGUAGGUAACCUGCCUUGUAGUUUGGAAUAACCGGUGGAAACGCCGGCUAAUACCGGAUGUGGAGGAAACUCUAAAGGGGGCUUCGGCUCUCGCUACAAGAUGGGCCUGCGGGACAUUAGCUUGAUGGUGGGGUAAUGGCCUACCAUGGCGAUGAUGUCUAGCUGGUCUGAGAGGAUGAUCAGCCACACUGGAACUGAGACACGGUCCAGACUCCUACGGGAGGCAGCAGUAGGGAAUAUUGCGCAAUGGGGGAAACCCUGACGCAGCAACGCCGCGUGAGUGAGGACGGCCUUCGGGUUGUAAAGCUCUGUUAAUAGGGAAGAACGGGUAGUAGGUUAAUACCCUAUUACUUUGACGGUACCUAUAGAGGAAGCACCGGCUAACUUCG